AUUGAACGCUGGCGGCAUGCCUUACACAUGCAAGUCGAACGGUAACAGGUCUUCGGAUGCUGACGAGUGGCGAACGGGUGAGUAAUACAUCGGAACGUGCCUAGUAGUGGGGGAUAACUACUCGAAAGAGUGGCUAAUACCGCAUGAGAUCUACGGAUGAAAGCAGGGGAUCGCAAGACCUUGUGCUACUAGAGCGGCCGAUGGCAGAUUAGGUAGUUGGUGGGAUAAAAGCUUACCAAGCCGACGAUCUGUAGCUGGUCUGAGAGGACGAUCAGCCACACAGGGACUGAGACACGGGCCAGACUCCUACGGGAGGCAGCAGUGGGGAAUUUUGGACAAUGGGCGAAAGCCUGAUCCAGCAAUGCCGCGUGCAGGAUGAAGGCCUUCGGGUUGUAAACUGCUUUUGUACGGAACGAAAAGCCCUGGGUUAAUACCCUGGGGUCAUGACGGUACCGUAAGAAUAAGCACCGGCUAACUACGUGCCAGCCGCCGCUGUAA
rnacentral:rRNA from 1 species